AGGUUGUCCACAUCGUCACUUUAAAUCAACCAAUCAUGUUAUUUCUUUUUGACACGUCAUUCGAGCUUUGCGAUUUAAUAAAAACUGACGGAAAAUAAGUUGGGGCAUGAAGCCCAUUAUCAUUUAUCAGUGAGAGACGGAGACCUUUGCUCUUCCUCUUCUUCGUUACGUUUCACGAUUUGGACCUCGAACAAUCAAUACAUCCUCCACUUCAUCUCCCUUUGCUCUCAUUUAUGGAUUCGAUUUGUUUUUCUCAUCCUGAUUUUAUUUAUAGAACUCUCGAUCGGAGUUUUAUUUCGAUCAAACUUCGUUAUAUAUACUCAUUAGUACAUCGCAAUUGCCAUGAGUUCCAACGGAAAAUCCACGUUAUCUGGUGAUCCCCGCUCGGAGAACCAAAAAGGCGUUGAAGCUGACUCCUUUUCCGGUCAGAUCAAGCCCAUCGUCACACCCGAUGUCUCUUCCGGUCUCUCCAUCAGCGACCCCCCCCCCUCAAAGAAAGCCAGCUGAAGCGUCGGUCUCCUCUUCCGGUCUGACCAAACCCAGCGGCGAUACCGGUGACUCGGUCGGCAUUCCUAAUUUGAAGAAAUUCAAUGGAUACAGAUGUAGAGAGAAGCUCCAGCAACGCUACUACUCUAAUCUCAAGGUUUACGGUUCUUGGUCGACAUGCGCGGUGUUGAUAUUAAUGACUGAGGGAUUUUUUUUUGUUUGAACACAAUUCCAAGGAUUCUUUACUUCUAGAAAGUAUUGCUGUUGGAUCUAUUAAUAAGAGUUUUUGGUCAAGUCUAUGUUGGUAGAAAGGUGGGCUCGGUCAUUGUUAAUGCUAUAUUUGGCCCGGGAGCUAUGGAGGUGGCUUUAAAGUUUGAGCAUACAAGCAGCAAAGGAUGUAACCAUGGGCCACCGUUUGAGUGGCAAGUUUACAAUGCACUUGGUGGCAGUCAUGGUGUACCACGAGUUCAUUUAAAAGGUCGGCAAGGUAAUUUUUACGUGAUGACGAGCUGCUCUGGCGGAAGAGUUGUUUGUGUUAAGACAAGUGGAUGAGUUUGAGGCGAAAGGAUUAAGUCCUCCACCAAGGAGAAAGAAUUGAUUUGACAUAAACGUUAUUUUAGGGAUUUGGCUUCUCCUGAGGCUUCCGUUAGAGAAGCAGCUGCUAUCUCCUUGGUGACGAGGCUGCAGGAGAUUCAGAAGCAGUACAAGAUGUUGCCUGAUAAGGAAUCUGUUGACGGAGGAUUGAUGCUCGAGGCUCAGAAGAAUGAUGGGUUGGAUAACUGUGCACCGCAUCUCAGAUACGCUCUAGGCAGGCUUAUUCGUGGUGUCUCUUCUUCCAGAGAGUGUGCAAGACGAGAAUUGUGUUGGGGUUGACAUUACCUGUUAGCUUAAUCUCUAGCAUUAAUUUGUGAAUUUCUACUGAAGCUCAUUUCUGAUUCAUCCAUGAAGGGACAAGAUGUAAAAGAAUGCUUACUGGGCAGGUUGUUUGCUUAUGGUGAUCUAGCAUGAUCUGAAGACUAGAGAAUAUACAUUGCCCAGUUUGGAAGUUGCAAGUUCACUGACAAUUUCAGUGGAUGUCAAAAUCUUGCCAACCAAAAGGUUCUUUGCAAAAAACAAUUUUGCAACAGACAGCACAAAUGUAAUUGUAAUUAUUAUAAUAUUCUCAAUUAUAUAUUAUAAGAUAAAAAUAUUCUUCUU